AUUGAACGCUGGCGGCAGGCCUAACACAUGCAAGUCGAGCGGAUGAAGGGAGCUUGCUCCUGGAUUCAGCGGCGGACGGGUGAGUAAUGCCUAGGAAUCUGCCUGGUAGUGGGGGAUAACGUCCGGAAACGGGCGCUAAUACCGCAUACGUCCUGAGGGAGAAAGUGGGGGAUCUUCGGACCUCACGCUAUCAGAUGAGCCUAGGUCGGAUUAGCUAGUUGGUGGGGUAAAGGCCUACCAAGGCGACGAUCCGUAACUGGUCUGAGAGGAUGAUCAGUCACACUGGAACUGAGACACGGUCCAGACUCCUACGGGAGGCAGCAGUGGGGAAUAUUGGACAAUGGGCGAAAGCCUGAUCCAGCCAUGGCGCGUGUGUGAAGAAGGUCUUCGGAUUGUAAAGCACUUUAAGUUGGGAGGAAGGGCAGUAAGUUAAUACCUUGCUGUAUUGACGUUACCAACAGAAUAAGCACCGGCUAACUUCGUG
rnacentral:rRNA from 1 species